GCUCAAAUGACUGACCCCACGUUUCUUUAGGUGCACACGAGCUGUCUGUCACCUGUCUGCCAUGUUGUGAGCUGCCCUACUGAAAAUCUCCUUGCAGUACCGGCCUACAAAUGUACCGUUAGGAAGCUGUUCUCUUCAAGAGCAGGCUUGGAAGCUAGAGAGGACUGAGAUUGCAGCUGUGGUCUGAAGGGCUGUGUGUGAACGGGGGAGCCAGAGAGACUUGGAUCUAUCAGUCAGGGUUUUCUAGAGAAGCAGAACCAAUAAGAAGGAAAGAACAAGAGUUAUGAUGAGGAAUUGGCUCACAUGAUUAUGGAGGCUGAUGAGUCCCAAGAUCCGUGGGAUGAGUUGGGGAGCUGGGGGCCCGUGAGAGCCAAUGGUGCAGUGCAGCAAGGUGCUACGGACCCCGGCAGACAGGUGUGGAUGAUAUUCUUU
ensembl:lncRNA RNF32-DT RNF32 divergent transcript